UACGUAGGGGGCGAGCGUUGUCCGGAAUUAUUGGGCGUAAAGAGCUCGUAGGCGGCUUGGCAAGUCGGAUGUGAAAACUCCAGGCUCAACCUGGAGCCGCCAUUCGAUACUGCUAUGGCUAGAGUCCGGUAGGGGAGUGUGGAAUUCCCGGUGUAGCGGUGAAAUGCGCAGAUAUCAGGAGGAACACCGGUGGCGAAGGCGGGUCUCUGGGCAACAACUGACGCUGAGGAGCGAAAGCGUGGGGAGCGAACAGG
rnacentral:rRNA from 1 species